UCGAGCGAACAGAUGAGGAGCUUGCUCCUUUGACGUUAGCGGCGGACGGGUGAGUAACACGUGGGUAACCUACCUAUAAGACUGGAAUAACUCCGGGAAACCGGGGCUAAUGCCGGAUAACAUGUUGAACCGCAUGGUUCAGCAGUGAAAGACGGUCUUGCUGUCACUUAUACAUGGACCCGCGCCGUAUUAGCUAGUUGGUAGGGUAACGGCUUACCAAGGCGACGAUACGUAUCCGACCUGAAAGGGUGAUCGGCCACACUGGAACUGAGACACGGUCCAGACUCCUACGGGAGGCAGCAGUAGGGAAUCUUCCGCAAUGGGCGAAAGCCUGACGGAGCAACGCCGCGUGAGUGAUGAAGGUCUUCGGAUCGUAAAGCUCUGUUGUUAGGGAAGAACAUAUGUGUAAGUAACUGUGCACAUCUUGACGGUACCUAACCAGAAAGCCACGGCUAACUACGUGCCACCAGCCGCGGUAAUACGUAGGUGGCAAGCGUUAUCCGGAAUUAUUGGGCGUAAAGCGCGCGUAGGCGGUUUUUUAAGUCUGAUGUGAAAGCCCACGGCUCAACCGUGGAGGGUCAUUGGAAACUGGAAAACUUGAGUGCAGAAGAGGAAAGUGGAAUUCCAUGUGUAGCGGUGAAAUGCGCAGAGAUAUGGAGGAACACCAGUGCCGAACGCUGCUUUCUGAUCUGUAACUGACUCUGAGGUGCGAAAGCGUGAGGAUCAAAACAAGAUUA
rnacentral:rRNA from 1 species